GCCCCCAUCGUCUAGAGGCCUAGGACGACACCCUUUCAAGGUGUAGACAGCGAUUCGAAUUCGCUUGGGGGCA
rnacentral:tRNA from 2 species